CAGCGCCACGAGUGGCAUUCGCAUUUAUUGGGUCUAAAGCGUUCGUAGCCGGAUGCGUGCAUCCUUUGUGAAAUCGGACAUCUCAAGUGUUCGACCUGCAGGGGACACGGCGCAUCUAGGGACCGGGAGGAGCUAGAGGUAUGCCGCGGGGAGUGGUAAAAUAUGAUAAUCCGCGGUAGACCACCUGUGGCGAAGGCGUCUAGCUAGAACGGAUCCGACGGUGAGGAACGAAGGCCAGGGGAGCGAACCGGAUUAGAUACCCGAGUAGUCC
rnacentral:rRNA from 1 species